AUUGAACGCUGGCGGCAUGCUUUACACAUGCAAGUCGAACGGUAACAGGUUAAGCUGACGAGUGGCGAACGGGUGAGUAAUGCAUCGGAACGUGCCCGGUCGUGGGGGAUAACGCAGCGAAAGCUGCGCUAAUACCGCAUACGAUCUGAGGAUGAAAGCGGGGGACCGUAAGGCCUCGCGCGAUCGGAGCGGCCGAUGUCAGAUUAGGUAGUUGGUGGGGUAAAGGCUCACCAAGCCGACGAUCUGUAGCUGGUCUGAGAGGACGACCAGCCUCACUGGGACUGAGACACGGCCCAGACUCCUACGGGAGGCAGCAGUGGGGAAUUUUGGACAAUGGGCGAAAGCCUGAUCCAGCAAUGCCGCGUGCAGGAAGAAGGCCUUCGGGUUGUAAACUGCUUUUGUACGGAGCGAAAAGGCUCUCUCUAAUACAGGGGGCUCAUGACGGUACCGUAAGAAUAAGCACCGGCUAACUACGUGCCAGCAGCCGCAGUAACAC
rnacentral:rRNA from 1 species